UACGAAGGGGGCGAGCGUUGUUCGGAUUUACUGGGCGUAAAGGGCGCGCAGGCGGCUAUCCAAGUCAGGCGUGAAAGCCCCGGGCUUAACCUGGGAGGUGCGUCUGGGACUGGGUGGCUAGAGUUCGGGAGAGGAGAGUGGAAUUCCCAGUGUAGAGGUGAAAUUCGUAGGUAUUGGGAAGAACACCGGUGGCGAAGGCGGCUCUCUGGACCGAGACUGACGCUGAGGCGCGAAAGCGUGGGGAGCAAACAGG
rnacentral:rRNA from 1 species